GACGAACGCUGGCGGCAUGCCUAACACAUGCAAGUCGAACGAGAACUCCGGGACUUUUGGCGCACGGCUGCGUAAGGCGUGGGAAGCUGCCCUUGGGUUCGGAAUAACUCUCCGACUGGGGUGCUAAUGCCGGAUAAGGUCUUCGGACCAAAGAUUUAUUGCGUUUGGUUGGGCCAGCGUUGGAUUAGGUAGUUGGUAGGGUAAAAGCCUACCAAGGCGACGAUCCAUAGCUGGUCAGAGAGGAUGCUCAGCCACACUUGGAGUGAGGCACGGCCCAGGAUCCUACGGGAGGGGGCGGAAGCGAAUAGUAGAAAAGGGGCGAGAGUGUGAUAGAUCUACGCCGCGUAAGACAUUAUGGCCUUAGAGUAACAAAGCUGUAUUACCCGAGGCGAGACUGACAGUACCCGGAGAAUAAGCUCCGGCUAACUCCGUG
rnacentral:rRNA from 1 species